UACGGAGGGGGCUAGCGUUGUUCGGAAUUACUGGGCGUAAAGCGCACGUAGGCGGAUCAGCAAGUUAGGGGUGAAAUCCCGGGGCUCAACCCCGGAACUGCCUUUAAAACUGUUGGUCUGGAGUCCGAGAGAGGUGAGUGGAAUUCCGAGUGUAGAGGUGAAAUUCGUAGAUAUUCGGAGGAACACCAGUGGCGAAGGCGGCUCACUGGCGCGGUACUGACGCUGAGGUGCGAAAGCGUGGGGAGCGAACAGG
rnacentral:rRNA from 1 species